rnacentral:rRNA from 1 species
ACUCAGUGAAAUUGAACUCGCUGUGAAGAUGCAGUGUACCCGCGGCAAGACGGAAAGACCCCGUGAACCUUUACUAUAGCUUGACACUGAACAUUGAGCCUUGAUGUGUAGGAUAGGUGGGAGGCUUUGAAGUGUGGACGCCAGUCUGCAUGGAGCCGACCUUGAAAUACCACCCUUUAAUGUUUGAUGUUCUAACGUUGACCCGUAAUCCGGGUUGCGGACAGUGUCUGGUGGGUAGUUUGACUGGGGCGGUCU